CCUACGGGAGGCAGCAGUAGGGAAUCUUCCACAAUGGGCGAAAGCCUGAUGGAGCAACGCCGCGUGGGUGAAGAAGGUCUUCGGAUCGUAAAACCCUGUUGUUAGAGAAGAAAGUGCGUGAGAGUAACUGUUCACGUUUCGACGGUAUCUAACCAGAAAGCCACGGCUAACUACGUGCCAGCAGCCGCGGUAAUACGUAGGUGGCAAGCGUUAUCCGGAGUUAUUGGGCGUAAGGGGAACGCAGGCGGUCUUUUAAGUCUGAUGUGAAAGCCUUCGGCUUAACCGGAGUAGUGCAUUGGAAACUGGGAGACUGGAGUGCAGAAGAGGAGAGUGGAACUCCAUGUGUAGCGGUGAAAUGCGUAGAUAUAUGGAAGAACACCAGUGGCGAAAGCGGCUCUCUGGUCUGUAACUGACGCUGAGGUUCGAAAGCGUGGGUAGCAAACAGGAUUAGAUACCCCGGUAGUC
rnacentral:rRNA from 1 species